ACUCCUACGGGAGGCAGCAGUGGGGAAUAUUGCACAAUGGGCGCAAGCCUGAUGCAGCCAUGCCGCGUGUAUGAAGAAGGCCUUCGGUUGUAAAGUACUUUCAGCAGUGAGGAAGGUGGUGCAGUUAAUAGCUGUAUCAUUUGACGUUAGCUGCAGAAGAAGCACCGGCUAACUCCGUGCCAGCAGCCGCGGUAAUACGGAGGGUGCGAGCGUUAAUCGGAAUUACUGGGCGUAAAGCGCAUGCAGGUGGUUUGUUAAGUCAGAUGUGAAAGCCCGGGGCUCAACCUCGGAAUUGCAUUUGAAACUGGCAGACUAGAGUACUGUAGAGGGGGUAGAAUUUCAGGUGUAGCGGUGAAAUGCGUAGAGAUCUGAAGGAAUACCGGUGGCGAAGGCGGCCCCCUGGACAGAUACUGACACUCAGAUGCGAAAGCGUGGGGAGCAAACAGGAUUAGAUACCCUGGUAGCACAGAG
rnacentral:rRNA from 1 species